UGGGGAAUAUUGGACAAUGGGCGAAAGCCUGAUCCAGCGACGCCGCGUGAGCGAUGAAGUAUUUCGGUAUGUAAAGCUCUAUCAGCAGGGAAGAAAACGACGGUACCUGACUAAGAAGCCCCGGCUAACUACGUGCCAGCAGCCGCGGUAAUACGUAGGGGGCAAGCGUUGUCCGGAAUAAUUGGGCGUAAAGGGCGCGUAGGCGGCUCGGUAAGUCUGGAGUGAAAGUCCUGCUUUUAAGGUGGGAAUUGCUUUGGAUACUGUCGGGCUUGAGUGCAGGAGAGGUUAGUGGAAUUCCCAGUGUAGCGGUGAAAUGCGUAGAGAUUGGGAGGAACACCAGUGGCGAAGGCGACUAACUGGACUGUAACUGACGCUGAGGCGCGAAAGUGUGGGGAGCAAACAGGAUUAGAUACCCUGGUAGUCCACACUGUAAACGAUGAAUGCUAGGUGUAGGGGGUAUCGACCCCUUCUGUGCCGCAGUCAACACAAUAAGCAUUCCGCCUGGGGAGUACGGCCGCAAGGUUGAAACUCAAAGGAAUUGACGGGGGCCCGCACAAGCAGCGGAGCAUGUGGUUUAAUUCGACGCAACGCGAAGAACCUUACCAGGUCUUGACAUCCACUUAAACUUACAGAGAUGUAAGGUGUGCUUGCACAAAGUGAGACAGGUGGUGCAUGGUUGUCGUCAGCUCGUGUCGUGAGAUGUUGGGUUAAGUCCCGCAACGAGCGCAACCCUUAUCUUCAGUUACUAACGCGUAGAGGCGAGGACUCUGAAGAGACUGCCGGGGACAACUCGGAGGAAGGUGGGGACGACGUCAAAUCAUCAUGCCCCUUAUGACCUGGGCUACACACGUGCUACAAUGGCCACGACAGAGAGAAGCGAAAUCGUAAGGUAGAGCGGAACUCAAAAAAGUGGUCCCAGUUCGGAUUGUGGGCUGCAACCCGCCCACAUGAAGUCGGAGUUGCUAGUAAUCGCGGAUCAGCAUGCCGCGGUGAAUACGUUCCC
rnacentral:rRNA from 1 species